rnacentral:piRNA from 1 species
UAAAGAACACAAGUUUUCUUCUCUGGGCCA